CAGUAACAUGGUUCUUGCAAUGAGAUGGAUCAAAAUACUUCCACUGUGGAAAGGAAACAUAAGCUGCUCCUGAGAAACGCGAGCGUCGGACAAAACGC